rnacentral:rRNA from 1 species
GGAUGAACGCUGGCGGCGUGCUUAAUACAUGCAAGUCGAACGGAGACAGUAGCAAUAUUGUCUUAGUGGCGAACGGGUGAGUAACGCGUUGGUGACCUGCCCCGAAGAGGGGGAUAACAGUCCGAAAGGAUUGCUAAUACCCCAUGUGGUCGUUUGGAUUAGAUGCCUUAUGACUAAACGGAUUUAUUCGCUUCGGGAGGGGCCUGCGUCCCAUCAGCUAGUUGGUAAGGUAAUGGCUUACCAAGGCGAUGACGGGUAGGGGACCUGAGAGGGUGGCCCCCCACAAUGGAACUGAAACACGGUCCAUACACCUACGGGUGGCAGCAGUAGGGAAUAUUGGUAAUCUGGGAAACCGGGAACCAGCAACGCCGCGUGCGCGAUGAAGGCCUUCGGGUUGUAAAGCGCUUUUUGAGGGGAUGAGGAAGGACAGUACCCUCAGAAUAAGCCUCGGCUAACUACGUGCCAGCAGCCGCGGUAAAACGUAGGAGGCGAGCGUUAUCCGGAUUUACUGGGCGUAAAGCGUGUGUAGGCGGUUUGAUAAGUUGGAUGUGAAAGCUCCCGGCUUAACUGGGAGAGGUCGUUCAAAACUAUCAGACUCGAGAGUGGUAGAGGGAGGUGGAAUUCCGCGUGUAGUGGUGAAAUGCGUAGAUAUGCGGAGGAACACCAGUGGCGAAAGCGGCCUCCUGGCCCAUUUCUGACGCUCAGACACGAAAGCUAAGGUAGCAAACGGGAUUAGAGACCCCGGUAGUCUUAGCUGUAAACGAUGUGAACUUAGUGUCGGUGGGGUUAAAUCCAUCGGUACUGAAGCAAACGCGAUAAGUUCACCGCCUGGGGACUACGGCCGCAAGGUUAAAACUCAAAGGAAUUGACGGGGCCCCGCACAAGCAGCGGAGCGUGUGGUUUAAUUCGAUGCAACGCGAAAAACCUUACCCACCUUUGACAUGGCAGGAAUUCCGAAGAGAUUUGGAAGUGCUCGAAAGAGAACCUGCACACAGGUGCUGCAUGGCUGUCGUCAGCUCGUGUCGUGAGAUGUUGGGUUAAGUCCCGCAACGAGCGCAACCCUUGCCAUUAGUUGCUACGAAAGGGCACUCUAAUGGGACUGCCGGUGACAAACCGGAGGAAGGUGGGGAUGACGUCAAGUCCUCAUGGCCCUUAUAGGUGGGGCUACACACGUCAUACAAUGGCCGGUACAAAGGGUAGCCAACCCGCGAGGGGGAGCCAAUCCCAUAAAGCCGGUCGUAGUCCGGAUCGCAGUCUGCAACUCGACUGCGUGAAGUCGGAAUCGCUAGUAAUCGUGGAUCAGCAUGUCACGGUGAAUACGUUCCCGGGUCU